GAUGAACGCUGGCGGCGUGCCUAAUACAUGCAAGUCGAGCGAACAGACGAGGAGCUUGCUCCUUCGACGUUAGCGGCGGACGGGUGAGUAACACGUAGGUAACCUACCUAUAAGACUGGUAUAACUUCGGGAAACCGGAGCUAAUACCGGAUAAUAUUUCGAACCGCAUGGUUCGAUAGUGAAAGAUGGCUUUGCUAUCACUUAUAGAUGGACCUGCGCCGUAUUAGCUAGUUGGUAAGGUAACGGCUUACCAAGGCAACGAUACGUAGCCGACCUAAGAGGGUGAUCGGCCACACUGGAACUGAGACACGGUCCAGACUCCUACGGGAGGCAGCAGUAGGGAAUCUUCCGCAAUGGGCGAAAGCCUGACGGAGCCACGCCGAGUGAGUGAUGAAGUUCUUCGGAUCGUAAAACUCUGUUAUUAGGGAAGAACAAACGUGUAAGUAACUGUGCACGUCUUGACGGUACCUAAUCAGAAAGCCACGGCUAACUACGUG
rnacentral:rRNA from 1 species